GCGCCCAUGGUGGAACGGAAGACGCAGCCGGUUUAAGCCCGGCUUCCCUAUGGGAGUGAGGGUUCAAAUCCCUCUGGGCGCA
rnacentral:tRNA from 3 species